GUCUGCCCAGAGAAGCGGUGGAAUCCUUGUCCCUAAAGGUAUUUGAGAGACACAGGACAUGGCUGAGACUUAGUAGGUUAGGCUGAUGGUUGGACUUGAAGAUUUUUUCCAACCCAAGUUACUCUAUGAUUCAAUCAAUUUUCUUUCUGGUGAUUUUUUCAUCUGUGGAUUGAGACAAAGCUGCAUGGAAUCUCUGGCUUCAGAAGGUUGAUCUGGGCUGAAACAAUUUCCAAGAAUGACUGAUAUUCUCUCCAUGAUAACCAGACAUAGCAAUUGAUCAACUUUUCUGGAAACCACGAUGAAUCUGCUCACCAGUUCAGACAAUGCACCCUUUUGUUUCCCCUGAUUCAGACAGCAACAGGAAGACAGGAAAGCAGGUUGCCACAUGGGACUUGGAAGAACUGACUGUCUUGUUAGGGUGCGGCUGGAUAUCAGACCUCAGGUUGCUCUCUGAGACAAAACAGUCUUACCUGCUCAUCACACAUUGCAUGGUUGACCUCUUACCAUGAGUGAGGACAGCUCUCACCAGAAAUGGAGCCAGAAGAGUCUCGAUACAAAAAAAAGAAAUCCAUCUAGAGGUA
rnacentral:lncRNA from 1 species